GUCACAUACCAAGUGUCAGAGAGAAGACUGGAACCCAGGUGUUUUUGACACCAAGAUUCAUUCACUAUGCCAUACUGCUGUGUGUGUGUGUGUGUGUGUGUGUGUGUGUGUGUGUGUGUGUGUGUGUGUUUUAGUCCUAUCUGACUUUUGGUCUCCCCAUAUUGGGUUUUCUUGGCAAAGACCCUAGAGUGGUUUGCCAUUUCCUUCUCCAGCUCCCUUUAUAGGUAAGAAAAUAGAGGCAAACAGGGUUAAGUGACUUGUUCAGAGUCACACAGCUAGUAAGUAUCUGAGGUCAGAUAUGUGUAAUAUGUCUAUGGGGCAUACACACACACACACACACACAUACAUGGGGAAGUAUGGCAUAGUGAAUGGGCUAAAUUCCUCUAGGCAAAGUUCUAGGAUGAUGAGCUGCUGUUCUCUAUGUGUAGAGGAAGAUUCUAUUCUGGGACUUGGAAACUGAAGGGUGACAGGUUUCAUCCAAGAAGAGAAACCAUUCAUGUGGCUUUCAGGAAUGAUGUUGGUGAUUUUAUAAAGAACAGUAUUGAUGGAUCCCAGAGAUAUGAAAGGAGAGUUUCUGCAGCGCACUAAUUCACAACCCUCGGAUCCUUCUCUCCCUCCCCUACAGCUGCUGAGCUCAUCAGAGAUGAAUAUCUAAACCCGUUCAAUAAGGAAGAAUUCUGAUUUGAAUGCGAAUCUUUUCUUGAAGCUUAGCUUGAAAUACUUUUCUUUACUUAGAUAAGAUGCCAUUUUACUUCGUUGGGAGGCCAUGGCACGGGGCUGGAAGGACAGGGUGCUAGAAAUCAGGAGCCAGGAGUUCUAGUCUUCCUUCCCUGCUGCCUUUCGGCUUGACCUUGAGCAAGUCACAACCUCUCUCUGUAACUAAACUUCCACAUCCAGAAAAUGGGGCUCAGAACCCAGUCCUCCUUCUCGCUCAGAAUUGUUAGGAUAUCAAAUCAAA
rnacentral:lncRNA from 1 species